GAUCUGGAGAAAUGAACGUCUCUGUAACCAAUGGUCAGAAUGUUCAUCUUGACACCAGCCCCCGGCAAAUGAUGUUGUAUGAGCUCGAGCUGUCCACCAUUCAGCCUUCCAUUGCCCACAGUGACCAGGACAAAGCAUGAGUUGGAUCAAAUUUCAAACCAUCAGAUUUCAAACCAAUCUUAGCCUUACUGCACACAAAUAAUUAAAGCUGCGAUCGUCAAAACGUUAUGUCUACUUGUGGAAUGGAACUAAGUGCACAAAAGUGUAGAGGGGAAAUAAUACCACAUGCUGCCUGUCUUAACAUUGUUUUUCUUGUAAUUAUUCAUCCUCACCAUGGUAUCCAGUGAAGGUUAACAUGUUUGGAUUGUGGGGAAAGCUAUUUUGCCCCUUCCUACAAAACUUAUAAGAAAUUAAUAUCUUUAGUUUAAUGUUUUGCUGGUGAGCAUGACACAGGCCAAUGAUCCCAAUAACUGUCCAUAAUCCACUUUGACUUAUUUUGUCUUAUGCAGUGGAGGUCUAAUAUUUACAAAAGACACUUCCUAGCAGCUGCUCCAGUAUAAGAAGCACAAAUGUAGAGGGUACUGGAUCUGAUUACCUGAACUUAAUGCCAGAUGAUUGCCUGAAGUAGAAAUGCAUAUAGUCUGUCAAGCUUUGAUAAAGAACAGCAAUGUUGAAAAUUGGAACUUGUUUGUGUAAACGGAUUUGAUUUUCAGAAGGUUUAAAAAAAUUUUAGAGCUUUCACAGAAUUGGCUGAGGGCAACCAAUGGUUCUUGUGGAUGAUGAGGUAUGUUGAAUAUGCAUCCUGGAAGAGACCCAGUUUUCUGUGGACCUCCUGACUCAAACUGUCUGCAGCUGUUUCUCUAGUUAGUUAUUUUAAGUCUAUUCCCCUUACAGUAGAUCUAGAAUAUUUGGACUUGCCAGACCAGAAUGAUACUACAACUUGGAAGGUUAAGUUAUGAGGGCCAGUCACAUGUUAUAACUAUAUAUUGUUUAUUAAUGUGACUAGGCUUUUAUUUCCUGGUGACCUAGUGCUGCUGCUUAAUUGACGUAGUACGUUCAAACUGACAACAUAGGUACACAGAGUCAAACAGAAUGUAAAUGCUUGAAAGGUUAAAUUACAAAGCUAGAUUGGACAACGAUGGCUUAUUUUCCCUUGUGUUAAACAUGAUGAGGUGAUUUAUUGGAGGUGUCCAAAAUGACAAAGGAAUUCACUUGGGUAUAGAGAAACAGUGGUUCAAGUAUCCAGUACAAUGGGUUUUAACUGUAAAGUUAGUGCUAGGCUGUUCAGAAGUCCGAUCAGUAAGAGAUUCUCAAACAAAAUUUCAUGAAGGGCUGAAAUUCUCACCUCGCCAGAAAGUUGUGAUUUCUGGGGGUCAUCUGGAGCUUUCCAGACUGAGAACUCUGUAUUUUUGCUGGAUAAGAUAUUGAGGAUAAGAUAGAGCCAUGCUCCGUUAAUGGAGUUAAGGUGUUUAUCAGCGUUGUUCCAACUAAAUGGUGAAAUAGGCUUGUAAGGUUGAAUAGUUUCACACAAUGUUUGGUAUAGUUGGUUCAGUUAAAACAAUUUUAAUAAACAAGAAUCUGUUCUAAGUAUUGAUUGGCCCCACCGCUGCUGUCUGCCAUGGUUUCUUGAGUGAGUUGCUGAAAUGUUCCACCAGAACAUUCAAACUAGGAUUUGCAAGGCUUGCUCAUUGAGUUUGUUAUUAAGAUGUGGACAUUAAGGCUUCAUUGAAGGCUCAUUUAGUAAUGGUAGUGCACAAUGAACAGAAAGCCACAGUGUGGUCCCUUGAUUGGCUAAUCUCAGUAAAAUCAACAGAAGAACUCCAAGUUGACUUCAUUGCUUCUUGGAUUAAGAUGGGGAGUCGAUGCAAUGGGAAAUGAACCAGGAGGCCAUAUUUCUGAUUGAUGAACAUUUGUUCCCUGUUUCUGAUUGCCACCCAAGAAUUCCUGAAUUUAGGAAUUUGGGUGUGUGCAGACGUCAUAUGAGAGCAGCAAUGGGCUCAGUGUCUCUCCACUAAGCAACCUGUUGCCCUGUAAUGUCUGAGUUCUCUGGUGGGAAAGUUACUGCUGCAUGGCCUAUUUCUUGAGAGAAGAAAGCAUGAGCAGAUAUUGGACCUAAGUAGCAGCUUUUCAAUGAUUAUAGUGCACCUGCCUCAGCCACAGAAUAACAAGCACUCCACGCAGUCCAGUGCACCCCACUAAGUGAUGCAGCACACAUUCCCCUCUCUGUGAUGCUGUACACCUGUUUUAUGUACUACAGACAGCACAUGGUAUAGGUGCACCUGAACUCAAACUGCUUAUUAAAUAUAAGCAGCUUUUUUUUAGUAUUGAAGGAGAAGAUUAAACAUUGUAGAAAACACACUUGUACGCAUGCCAUUGGUUCAGUGAAAACUGUAAAUCAUGUUUGAUAUUUUUGAAGAGGUUAGAUGGCUUGAGCUCAAAAACAUGUUCUCAGUUCAUUUAAUUGCAUUUAGCAUCAUUAAAGCCACAUACAAAACUUCCUUGCCAUUUCUAAUAUGGCAGCUUGUUCAUUAUAAUUUUAUUUAUGCUAAUUAUACAUAAUCUGAUAUUUUUAUUAAAAGAUCAAUGCAAACUAUGGCAAUUUUGCACUUUUAUGUUAAAAAUAUUUUUGCACAAUGUAUUUAGUGAAUUACUGCAUUGCCACAUUUAGUUCUCAGUGUAAAUUAUCUUGAUCUCAUUGCCAUACGAAUCUGUGCAGAAGAGGAACUCCGCAAUUGACUUCACCUUCCAUAAUAGAGAAAAUUAGACAGCAUUCCUGAUCACUAUCCAGUGAACCAUGCCAGGAAGUGUUCAUGUGUUGUGUUGUGCAAAGAGAGAGAUCUUCCAUGUUUCGAAGUCUCCCAGCACAGAAAAAUGAUCUAAUGAGGCAGAGGUGAUUUGCUGGUAGCAGAAGAAUUUGUACAUUUCCCCAUCCUAUGCCAUCUGCCCCCACUCCCAACCCAAUGACAGUCAGUAAUCUUGAAAGGUAAAGAAGAAAAUUAUGGGAUGAGGAACCCUAGCUAUUUACAUUGAGAAACUUGUACAUGAUGGGUGUUUUCUUUUAGCCACAAGCCACCUGUAUUGUUAAAUUAAAGCAGAAAGUGCUGGAAAAAAACUCAGCAGGUGGGGAGAAAGCAGAGUUAACAUUUCAGGAUCAGUGACCCUUCUUCAGAACUGAUUGUAGCUAGGAAAAGAUUGACAUACAUGCUGAAGAUGUGAUGGGAGGAAGUAGAUGUCGAUGGAGCCCAGAGAGAGAGAGAAAACCACAGUUGGGCAAACAAAGCAAGGGCAAAAAUCAGCCUGGGAGAAUCAAUAGCUGCUAAUGGGAGCCAUUAGUAGCUGACAUUGAACUGGCUAUGGUGGCAAUCCCUGUGAUGACAAGGUCUGUUUGGAGGGAGGACAUGGGUGAAGCUUCCUGUUGACUGCCACUUCAACACACCACCAUGUUCCCUGGCCAACAUCUCUGUUUCAGGCUUGCUACAGGGCUCCAACGAAGCUCAGCAAAAGCUGGAAGAACAACAUCUCAUUUUCUGCUUUGGGGACCUUGCAGCCUUCAGGACUCAAUAUCGAGACCAAUAAUUUUAGGGCCUGAACAUCUUUUCCCAUGCCUUAGUUUUUCCAGCAAUUUGUUUUUGUUUCUGAUUACCAACAUCCGCAGUUUUUUUUGUGUGUGGCUGAAUUGUUCAAUGUGACUGAAGUUAUGUUAUUUUAUGUAAACUUAAUAGAAAGUAAUGAAAAUCACUUGAGAGAAUGACACAUAAAAUAUUCACCCCACCUUCAAUGUCCACAAUUGCUGGAGUGAUUUAUUUCAUUCUGCCCAAACUGUGUCCAGUUAGUGCUUGAAUUUUUGAACAGGGACCAGGAAUUUGUAAUUCUCCCCCUGUGCUAUAACAUUCAGCCCACUUGCUUACCAAGCUUAGCUUUCCUUCCUCUCAUCCCCCAUGCCAGAAAACAAAUUGCUUGCCAGUUACUAGCACUGGCAUUUAUGUGAUGAAAUGGGAUUUUAUUUGGAUGAAACUAAUGUCAAAAUGUAUUGUGGCUACCUCAUUGUAUUGAAGGAAUUGAUGUAUAAAUAAAAGAUGUGAUUAACAAUGA